UUCCGUAGGUGAACCUGCGGAAGGAUCAUUAAAAGUAAACACGAUUUCUCCGGAAUCUGCAUUUUCAAACCCAUCUGUGUAUCUUACCUGUUGCUUCCGUGUUGCGUGGACCUCGGUCCCCUCUCACCGCUCGUCAGGGUGGCUCAGAGUGCCGGCACGGAAGGUAUACAUGAAACUCUUGAUUCUCAUGUCAUCAGUCUGAUUUGUUUAUAACAAAAGUUAAAACUUUCAACAACGGAUCUCUUGGUUCUCGCAUCGAUGAAGAACGCAGCGAAAUGCGAUAAGUAGUGUGAAUUGCAGAAUUCAGUGAAUCAUCGAAUCUUUGAACGCACAUUGCGCCUCUUGGUAUUCCUUGAGGCAUGCCUGUUCGAGCGUCAUUAAAACCACUCAAGCCCUUUUGCUUGGUCAUGGGAGAAGAGUCCGCCUGCCGGACCCCCUUCCGAAAUGCAAUGGCGGAAGGUCUCUGGUACCCGGCGUAGUAAUAACUGUUCGCUUUGUAUCUGGAGGCAUUCCUGCCCGUGAACCCCCAAUUCUUCUAGGUUGACCUCGGAUCAGGUAGGGAUACCCGCUGAACUUAAGCAUAUCAAUAAGCGGAGGAA
rnacentral:rRNA from 1 species